AUAUAAAAACCCUAAUAGCUAGAGAUUCAACCAUGAGAAUUCUAUAAUUUUUACAUAUUCGGAAUCCCCAUUACGAAGGCUACUAGUGACACCCAAAAGUUCGUGAAUAGCAUUACGGCAUUCAGAAAGUCAUUCAAAGCUUCAAGUUUAAGGAAAAGAAGCUUGCUACAAUUUCCCUGAGACAUGUUUGCCAUGGAUUUGGUGGACUCAACUCUUGAGGAGCUAGUGGUUUUCAUCCCCUUGGUGCCUUAUGAUAGACCAAGAGCUUCUUCAAUAGGAAGCAGAUUUGUACAAAUGAUGACCACAUCAAAGAACCAACGAUAUAUGAAUGACAGAUUGCAUUAGAAGACGAUACGG